UUUCAAUCUCUUCUUUGCUUGCAUAUAUUUCGCUCUUCUCAUUCUCUCUGGAAAUCUGUUUUUUCAGGUUUUGGUUCCGAAAGCAAGACUUAAAAGGCGUGCACAAUUUUUGAUAAGCUACACGAUCUUGGUUUGUUGCAAGAAUGCAUGCAACAUCUGGAUGUAGAGCGACCAAGGCCUUUGACAUUUCGCCUUCUUGAAGGCCCAUGUUUUUUUCCAUAUAGUUUUGCACGUUCAAAGUGAAUUCUUCCAUGUUUAGUCUGAUGG